rnacentral:lncRNA from 1 species
GUGUGACAGGUGCACCUGUCCUAGUGCUGGGCAGUUAGGAUUCCAACAACAUUGGUACUUGACCGCUUCACUCUCUCCAGCCGCUGCCCUUUGGUCUGCCCUGGACCCUGGCACAGGCAACUGCACUGACCUGGAGCACAGAGUCCUCCUCACCUUGCAGGACUCCUGCCCACGACACACUCAAGCAGCUCUUCAAGAAUUUUGCCUGCAUGUACGCCUGCACGCCAGAACAGAUCCCAUUACAGAUGGUUGUGAGCCACCAUGUGGUUGCUAGGAAUUGAACUGAGGACCUCUGGAAGAGCAACAGUAUUCUUAACCACUGAGCCAUCUCUCGAAUCCUUCUACUUAUCAAUCUUUACUUCCUUUCUGGGAAGACAGAUUGGAUCCAAGAAUUGACCCUGACCCCCUGGAAGCAGGAAGCAUCGUUAAAAUAAAAGCAAAUUGUUUGUUGGUUUUUUAAAAU